UGUUAAAAUUUUCAUCUAUUUUUAUUGUUAAAAAAUGGUAUAACUGACCAAAUAACCAAACAGUGACAUGUGACAUGCUAUAUAUACCUCAUGCUAAUAUACAUGAACCAGUUUUUAAUUAUAGAGAUGAAUGAUAAUUUCAAUA
rfam:Gossypium hirsutum cultivar TM-1 chromosome 24, whole genome shotgun sequence